GGUGCGAUGGCGAAGUGGUAACGCUGGGGUCUGCAAAACCUCGAUGCGCGGGUUCGAUUCCCGCUCGCACCUCCA
rnacentral:tRNA from 1 species